rnacentral:rRNA from 1 species
GUUGAACGCUGGCGGCAUGCCUAACACAUGCAAGUCGAGCGAGCGGCGGACGGGUGAGUAAUGUCUGGGAAACUGCCUGAUGGAGGGGGAUAACUGCUGGAAACGGUAGCUAAUACCGCAUACCAUCAGCUGUGCCCAGAUGGGAUUAGCUAGUAGGUGGGGUAAUGGCUCACCUAGGCGACGAUCCCUAGCUGGUCUGAGAGGAUGACCAGCCACACUGGAACUGAGACACGGUCCAGACUCCUACGGGAGGCAGCAGUGGGGAAUAUUGCGCAAUGGGCGCAAGCCUGAUAGAGCCAUGCCGCGUGAGUGAAGAAGGUUUUCGGGUUGUAAAGCACUGUCAGUGGGGAGGCGGUACCCGCAGAAGAAGCAACGGCUAACUCCGUGCCAGCAGCCGCGGUAAUAC